rnacentral:lncRNA from 1 species
CACCUUUCCCUCCCCCCACGAAAUGUGUCCAGUGUGGCGUAACACUACUGCUUUCAAAACUGGACAAUUAUGCAAGGCUCCAUAUCGUUGGGAAAAAAAACUUUAUUGCAGCCCUGUUUUCAUGAAGUUGCAUAGUUGCUCAGUGGAUAAAGCCCAGUCCAAUAAAUGAAAGCAGAAAAGGAAAUGGAGAGCUCUUUCUGAUGUAUUACAUUUUCCCAGAACUCAAACUGUAGCAAAUUUGCACCUGUGAAAAUGUUGUACAGUUGCAGGACAUAAAAUCUUACUGGUGUAGUACUGUGCAUUAUAUUAUGCAAGCUGUAGAUUGUCCCAUUGCAGCUAACAGUGCUUAUAGCUGAGCAAGGUAGUUAUUUGAGACAAAUUUUGACCCCACCAUUCUGCAAAAGCAAAU